CUGGGUCUGAUAUUGUUCAACUUAUUCAUCCAUCCCUUUGAUGAAGGGACGAAGUGCCUCCUCAGCAAGUUUGCUGAUGAUACCAAACUGGGAGAAGUGGCUAACACACCAGAGGGCUGUGCUGCCAUUCAGAGGGACCUGGACAGGCUGGAGAGCUGGGCCGAGAGGAACCUCCUGAAGUUCAGCAAAGGCAAGUGCAGGGUCCUGCAGCUGGGGAAGAAUAACCUCAUGCACCAGUACAGGCUGGGGGUUGACUUACUGGAAAGCAGCUCUGUGGAGAAGGACCUGGGAGUGCUGGUGGAAAACAAGUUGACCGUUAGUCAGCAACGUGCCUUUAUGGCCAAGAAGGCCAAUGGUCUCCUGCGGUGCAUUAGGCAGAGUGUUGCCAGCAGGUUGAGGGAGGUGAUCCUCCCCUUCUACUCAGCUCUGGUGAGGCCACAUCUGGAGUCCUGUGUCCAGUUCUGGGCUCCCCAGUACAAGAGAGACAUGGAGCUCCUGGAGCAAGUCCAGCGGAGGUCUACUAAGAUGAUUAAGGGACUGGAGCAUCUCUCAUAUGAAGCGAGGCAGAGAGAGCUGGGCCUGUUCAGCCUGGAAAAGAGAAGACUGAGGAGGGAUGUGAUCAAUGUGUACAAGUAUCUAAAGGGAAAGUGUCAAGAGGAUGGGGCCAGUCUCUUCUCCGUGGUGUCCAGCAAUAGGAGGAGAGGCAAUAGGCCCAAACUGAAGCACAGGAAGCUCUAUCUGAACGUGAGGAGAAACUUCUUUACAGUGCGGAUGACUGAGCACUGGCACAGGUUGCCGAGAGAGGUUGUGGAAGGAGUUCCCUGGAGAUAUUCAAAAGCUGUCUGGACACUUUCCUGGGUAACAUGCUCUAGAGGACCCUGCUUGAGCAGGGGGGCUGGACUAGAUGAUCUCCAGAGGUCCCUUCCAACUUCAACCAUUCUGUGAUUCUUUUGAGUGUACACCAACUUCUGUGUUCUGGAGAUCUGCUGUCCUGUUAAAAUAUUUGAGAGUUGUAAAUGUGAAUCAAAAAUGAAUAGCCGUAUUUGAAAAUAUCUAAAAUGUGUG
rnacentral:lncRNA from 1 species